UUUUUUUUUUGCUUUUUAAAAUGAAUUCUACCAAAUACAUCAUAACCUAAAAAAUGUAGGAUUGGGUUUGCCUGGUGAACAAAAUAGGUAUCACAUUAUAUUUCUUCCCUGGCCUGUACGUUUUACUCAACAUUGUUUCUGAGACAUCCAUGUGGUUAGCAAAACUGUCGUUCCUUAUUUUCAUCUCUGUGUUACAGUCCCCUGUGCGUCUCUACCGAGUUCUAUUCAUGUUUUCUCCUGCCCACAGAUAUUUGGGUUGUCUUUAUUUCUUUUUCUAAAACAAGCCUUCCUGCUAUGAACAUUCUCCUAUUUCAUAUUACGCAGGUGCUAAUGUUUCCUUUGGGUAUAUAUCUAGCUGUGGUUUUUAAAGCAUGAACAGUUUUACAAGAUAAUGAAGCAUUAUUUUCCAAAGUGGUUAGUUAUAUUAAUUUACUCGUCAACCAGCAAUGUGAUCACAUUGAUUCCCAUUCCCUUCAAACUUGAUGUGUUAGACUUCUUAACUAGUAUUGGUAAUUGUAAAAUGGUAGCUCUGUGUGCUUUUCAUGUACUUUUCCCUGACAAUGAGGUUGAGCAGUGCUUCAUGUUAAUUUGCUCUAUUUCCUUUUUUGUGAAAUGCCUAUUUAAAUCUUUUGUGCAGUUUUUUAAUUAGGCUAUUUUUCUUAUUUGUUUGUAGAAAUCUUUAUAUAUUCUGUAUGGUAAUUCUUUGUGUUGUAAGAAUGUCUCCCAUUUGUAGCUUUUAUUUUCUUCAUAGUAUCUUUUGAUGACAUGUUUUUAUGGCUCAUUUUAAUGUCUGAAUUUGUUAAUAUCAUCUUUUAUGAUGAGCAUAUUUCUAUCUGGUUUAGAAAAUUAUUCCUUAUCGUAAUAUCAGAAAGAUAUUCACUUACGUUUUCUUCUAAAAGUUAAAGUUUGGCUUAGGUAUUUAUUUAUUUAUUUUUGGUCGUUUUUUUUUUUCUUUUUAGAUCGACACCCACGGCACAUGGAGGUUCCCAGGCUAGGGGUCUAAUCAGAGCUGUAGCUGCCUGCCUACACCACAGCCACAGCAACUCGGAUCUGAGCCUUGUGUGCGACCUACACCACAGCUCAAGGCGAUGCCAGAUCCUUAACCUACUGAGCAAGGCCAGGAUGAAACCAGUGUUCUCAUGGACACUAGUCGGGUUUGUAAGCUGCUGCCACAAUGGAAACUCCCUAAUCAUUUAUUUUUAGAUUCUCUGGGGGAAUUUCGAUGUAGACAAUCAUAUCAUCUGCAAAUAAUGACAGUUCUUCCUUUCCUCAACAAAUUUCAAUAAAUUUAAACACUUUCAUCAAGUGUUUAAAUUUAUUUUUCUUGACUUACUGUGCUGUAUAGGGUCUCUAUAAAGUGCUAAACAGAAGUGAUAAGAGUGGGUACCUUUGCUUUUUUUCCUGAUUUUCAAAAGAAAACUUCCAGUGUUUUCCUAUUUAGCAUGAUUUUUGUUGUAGUGGUUUUUAUUUAAGAUUGGAUUCUAAUGAAAUAUUUGAAGUCUCCCACAACAUUCAGUUUUCAUUUCAUUGUCCAAAACUUAGCCAUCGCAAUACUCAUUGCUAAAAGGGAGUUGGGAAAUACAGUCUGUUAGCAGGGCAAAUGGAGUUCUGUUAAUUUGAGAUAGAAAAUUAGAAUGGAUAUUUGGUUGGUAAUGAGUUGGCCAUAUCUUCCAGGUGUUACCCAGAAACCAAGAUGGGCCAUGAGACUAGUGUCACUCAGAUAUCUUGCUAGAUUUAAAAAUAUCCUAGGCCUUUAUGUGAAAUUAUAAAAACAAACAAUAACAUUACAAAAAAGCUGGAAGGUACUUCCUUAACCCUCAACCUCACAUACUC
rnacentral:lncRNA from 1 species